GAAAGUUUGUUCAGGUAGAACUUUUUGCAUAGUAAUGAGUUAUUUACAAUGAUCACCAACUAUAACAAUAUUUACAAUAAGAAAUGUUCAUCUAGUACAUUUCCACUCAAUAUUGAUGUGCUUCUAAACUGUAUUUACAAGGAAGCAAUUACACUAGCAAACAACCAUAUCAAUCUUCAUACUGAUAAUUACGGAUAAUUUUGGUAGCAUCUAGGCGUGCAUAUUUCGCAUUACAUGCCAAUCAUGCACUAAAACCCCUGUGGAGGGAACUCCAGGUAUAGGAUGGAACACUGGGACAAGCUUGUGCCGAUGCCUCCACCAUCUGCUCCAUUUUAAUUCCAGCGUUGCAUAUGUUAGCAACAGAGCGCAUAUGUUUCAUUCCAUACUGAGAUAACGAUCCACAAUGUGUUUCAAAUGUUCUUACAUAAGAUUUAAGACAGUCCCAAUUGUCAACAAGCGGCUGACCAGCAGGGCGGACACUAGUCAGCACCUCUGGACCUUUUUUAAUUCCAAACAAAAGCUUACCGACAAGGGCUAUGCUGUUAUCUAAGUGCAUUCUAUGUGAUAUUGCUUCAUUUAAGCGUUUCUGAGCCUCAGUUUUGCUAACAGAGCCUUCAGGAGCCUUGUGGAACUUGUACCAGAAAUGCACAAGAUCUGCAUCACGCUGGUUUACAGCCUUUGAUACUCGCAAGGAAUUGUCAUCCAUAAAAGUAGAAUUAUCAUUUGCAGGAUCGGUACCCAUAUAUAGGAAUACAGCAUCCUUGCUGAGAUGUACAUCACCAUAUUGCAUGACAUGCGAACCAUAGGCAGGAUUCCCACUGGCAGUUCUCUCUUUGACCAGGUGAUAUUGCUGCUUCAAACUUUCAGUCCGCAGGUUGUGUCUUUCACUGUCCUCCAUCCAGGAAAUACUAUACAAGUCACCCAGGCAGGUGUCAUAUUCGAUAGGAGGACUAGGGUACUCCCCUGGGCAAUAGGUUCCCCAGCUGCUCUCAUCAGCAUUUGAUGCUGUUGUGGCAUAGAUGUUUAAACCUUCAGGAAGAAGACCCUCAAACAUACUUCCAGACUCACAAGCUUCAAGGUAAAAUACCAAGCUUUUGUAUGUUCCCGAAGCAUGCUUCAUUUUCAGAGCAUCAAUCAGAUCAUUUGCAUAGAGGUAAGGAUUGGUAGGCAUUCCAAGCACUCCAGCACCUCCAUGAUCACUAUAAAAGAUGAAGAUAUGAUCAUUUGGACCACUAUCUACAACCUUUCCACUGCCUCCGGUAAGUGCAGUUUUGUUCCCAAGGAGAGCAGCAAGAAAGUUGUCAACAGUAACAUCAUCCCCCGUGUAAUCCUUAGGUACUCCGUUGUAAACAUCCUCACCAUGAGGGCUAUUAAUGAUAACUCCUUGCCUUGGGUUCUCUUCAUUGUUUGCAAUGUCAUCAUACAUGAACACAACAAUGUUCUCAUCUUUGAGACCACCCUUCUUCAACAGUUGAUAUGCAUGACAUAUAUCAGCCUGGUGACGGUAAUUCCAAUAACCGUUUGAUCCGGCAAGCAAAAUAGCCCAUCUAGUACCGACGGAGUCGAUCUCAUCGGCAUCGAAGAAUCUAGAACCUUCAGACGGAAGUUUCAAAAAAUUACGGCUCUCGGAAACGGAGACGUUUAACGAGAGCGCAAUCAGGAACAAAACUCCGGCGACGGAACGAUUCAUUAUCCGAGCUCCGAUAAUACAAUUAAAA
rnacentral:misc_RNA from 1 species